ACGACCUUACUAGAACAUGAUUUUUUUAUAGGCUCGUACCUUUGUAUGAUCUUUAAGGAGACAGAAAACCAUGUUUGGUGGAUGAACCAUGGUUGCCUAACUAGAGUGUGAUUAACAGCGCUUCGGGUCGACCUUUUGGCUCAUGGUGCAGUAGAUGAUCGUUCUUGGCUCGACUCUGUCCAAUCAAGAUGGCCACGCAACUGUCUGUUAGAUU